CGCCCACAUUCUGAUUUGGGUCGACGCCCAAGCCAACCUGCCUUCCCGGGCAAGGUGGAUCGCGAAAGCGGAUGUGGCUCCUUGAGGAGCAACCAAACGGGCCAUG
rnacentral:ncRNA from 1 species